CGGGUAGUAUCCUAAUGCGAACUGCACCUGGUUAUGGUAGACAAGGCUAAAAAUAAGGUGUUUUCCGCUUGGAGCCAAUGGACCGAGACGGGGGG
rnacentral:ncRNA from 1 species